GUGGCUACAGCCUGAACCCCUGUACCCAAGCCAGGUAUCCCCUCAAAUGUAUCUUUAUUUUGGCGAUAACCCCUUCAGGUGCAAGGCCAGGUUAGGAAGGAAAUGGUUUCCCAAAAGGAUGAAUUGAGGAGGAAAACAGACUUAAUAUUUCAGGACCAUGGAAAUAUUAAGGGGUGGGGGUGGGGGUGCAGCUACUUUCCUCAUUUUUUUUUUUUUUUUGGUACCAGGAAUGAAACUCACAACCUCACACUUACCAGAAGGCGCUGUGCCGCUGAGAUAUUCCUUUAUUCCUUCAGAAGGGCAGCCAGCAGCAGCUCCUCAGCCCUUAGGAGAGUGGUUCUGCAGAGUGAGGAAGGCCAAGAGAGCACCCUGAACAGUGAGAGGAACCGUGAAGUUGUAUUUAAGUUGAGAAGGACAGAGCUGACUGUGCCGCUGUAUUUACUGAAGAUUUAAUGAGCAGCUUGAUGAGCAGUGGACAGUCUGGAAGAAGAUACAGUUUUAAAAGAAUGAAGGCACAGCUUGAUCCUGUAUUUCACAUGAAAAUAGCUACUGAAGAUCGGCCUACUUCACCUCUUGUUAAAGCAGCCCCUGCAGGACAACAUUUGCGGCCCUAGUUCACGACGGCACGCCUGAAGUUCACAGUGUCCCAUCCAGAUCUUUAAUCGUAGUUGAUGGGUUAGGUUUUCGUUAAUUCUGAUUUGGAUGAUCCACCAACUGGUCUGUGUUUGUGAAACUGGGCAUAUUCAUCAUCUUAAAAAAUAAUGUAUAGUUCCAACUGUACCAUGGAAUCAUUACCUACAGAAAACACCACAAACACCAUUGUUACCAUCCUCUAGACCUCCAGCAAUAACCUCUCUCUAGAGGAUCUGGAGGACAGUAACAAGGCAAAC
rnacentral:lncRNA from 1 species